rnacentral:tRNA from 2 species
GCGGGAAUAGCUCAGUGGUAGAGCACCUCCUUGCCAAGGAGGGGGUCGCGAGUUCGAAUCUCGUUUCCCGCU